CCUACGGGAGGCAGCAGUGGGGGAUAUUGCACAAUGGGGGAAACCCUGAUGCAGCGACGCCGCGUGAGUGAAGAAGUAUUUCGGUAUGUAAAGCUCUAUCAGCCGGGAAGAAAAUGACAGUACGUGACCACGAAGCCCCGGCUAACUAAGUGCCAGCAUCCGCUGUAAUACGUAGGGCGCAAGCGGUAUCCGGGUUUACUGGGUGUAUAGGGAGCGUAGACGGUUAUGUAAGUCUGGAGUGAAAGCCCGGGGCCCCACCCCGGGACUGCUUUGGAAACUGUGUAACUGGAGUACAGGAGGGGCAGGCGGAAUUCCUGGUGUAGCGGUGAAAUGCGUAGAUAUCACGAGGAACACCGGCGGCGAAGGCGGCCUGCUGGACUGCAACUGACGUUGAGGCUCGAAAGCGUGGGGAGCAAACAGGAUUAGAUACCCGAGUAGUC
rnacentral:rRNA from 1 species